rnacentral:rRNA from 1 species
UCAAGUAAUUAAGUGCAUGUGGUGGAUGCCUUGGCAGUCAGAGGCGAUGAAAGACGUGAUAGCCUGCGAAAAGCUCCGGGGAGGCGGCAAAUAUCCUUUGAUCCGGAGAUGUCUGAAUGGGGGAACCCACCUACUUUAAGGUAGGUAUUGCAACAUGAAUACAUAGUGUUGCAAGGCGAACGAGGGGAAGUGAAACAUCUCAGUACCCUUAGGAAAAGAAAUCAAUUGAGAUUCCCUCAGUAGCGGCGAGCGAACGGGGAUCAGCCCAUUAAGUUAUGUGUGUUUUAGUGGAACGCUCUGGGAAGUGCGAACGUAGAGGGUGAUAUUCCCGUACACGAAAGGGCACACAUAAUGAUGACGAGUAGGGCGAGGCACGUGAAACCUUGUCUGAAUAUGGGGGGACCAUCCUCCAAGGCUAAAUACUCCUGACUGACCGAUAGUGAACCAGUACCGUGAGGGAAAGGCGAAAAGAACCCCUGUGAGGGGAGUGAAAUAGAUCCUGAAACCGCAUGCAUACAAGCAGUGGGAGCACCUUCGUGGUGUGACUGCGUACCUUUUGUAUAAUGGGUCAGCGACUUAUAUUCAGUAGCAAGGUUAACCGUAUAGGGGAGCCGUAGAGAAAUCGAGUCUUAAUAGGGCGUUUAGUUGCUGGGUAUAGACCCGAAACCAGGCGAUCUAUCCAUGAGCAGGUUGAAGGUUGGGUAACACUAACUGGAGGACCGAACCCACUGUCGUUGAAAAGCCAGGGGAUGACUUGUGGAUAGGGGUGAAAGGCUAAUCAAGCCUGGUGAUAGCUGGUUCUCCCCGAAAGCUAUUUAGGUAGCGCCUCGGACGAAUACCAUAGGGGGUAGAGCACUGUUUCGGCUAGGGGGUCAUCCCGACUUACCAAACCGAUGCAAACUCCGAAUACCUAUGAGUACUAUCCGGGAGACAGACUGCGGGUGCUAACGUCCGUAGUCAAGAGGAAAACAAUCCAGACCGCCAGCUAAGGCCCCAAAAUCAUAGUUAAGUGGGAAACGAUGUGGGAAGGCAUAGACAGCUAGGAGGUUGGCUUAGAAGCAGCCACCCUUUAAAGAAAGCGUAAUAGCUCACUAGUCGAGUCGGCCUGCGCGGAAGAUGUAACGGGGCUAAAACUAUGUGCC